rnacentral:miRNA from 1 species
AAAUGCACAUUCCUGGGCCCCAUCCCAAGUGAUUUGAGAAAGUCUAGGGUGGAGUCCAGGAAUCUGCAUUUUAUAUGAACACUCAGGUAAUUCUGA